GACGAACGCUGGCGGCGUGCUUAACACAUGCAAGUCGAACGGAAAGGCCCUGCUUUUGUGGGGUGCUCGAGUGGCGAACGGGUGAGUAACAAGUGAGUAACCUGCCCUUGACUUUGGGAUAACUUCAGGAAACUGGGGCUAAUACCGGAUAGGAGCUCCUGCUGCAUGGUGGGGGUUGGAAAGUUUCGGCGGUUGGGGAUGGACUCGCGGCUUAUCAGCUUGUUGGUGGGGUAGUGGCUUACCAAGGCUUUGACGGGUAGCCGGCCUGAGAGGGUGACCGGCCACAUUGGGACUAAGAUACGGCCCAGACUCCUACGGGAGGCAGCAGUGGGGAGUAUUGCACAAUGGGCCGAAGCCUGAUGCAGCAACGCCGCGUGCGGGAUGACGGCCUUCGGGUUGUAAACCGCUUUCGCCUGUGACGAAGCGUGAGUGACGGUAAUGGGUAAAGAAGCACCGGCUAACUACGUG
rnacentral:rRNA from 1 species